CCUACGGGUGGCAGCAGUGAGGAAUCUUGGGCAAUGGACGAGAGUCUGAACCAGCUAAGUAGCGUGAAGGAUGACUGCCCUAUGGGUUGUAAACUUCUUUUAUAUGGGAAUAAAAUGUUCCAUGUGUGGGAUUUUGUAUGUACCAUAUGAAUAAGGAUCGGCUAACUCCGUGCCAGCAGCCGCGGUAAUACGGAGGAUCCGAGCGUUAUCCGGAUUUAUUGGGUUUAAAGGGAGCGUAGGUGGAUUGUUAAGUCAGUUGUGAAAGUUUGCUGCUCAACCGUAAAAUUGCAGUUGAAACUGGCAGUCUUGAGUACAGUAGAGGUGGGCGGAAUUCGUGGUGUAGCGGUGAAAUGCUUAGAUAUCACGAAGAACUCCGAUUGCGAAGGCAGUUCACUGGACUGCAACUGACACUGAGGCUCGAAAGUGUGGGUAUCAAACAGGAUUAGAUACCCGUGUAGUC
rnacentral:rRNA from 1 species